GCAUCAUUAGUCCAACGGUUAGGAUAUAAGUUUCCCAAACUUGAGAUCCGGGUUCGAUUCCCGGAUGAUGCA
rnacentral:tRNA from 1 species